rnacentral:piRNA from 1 species
CUGUGAUUUUAGAGAACUUCAAUACAGC